rnacentral:rRNA from 1 species
CACGUGCUACAAUGGACAAUACAAAGGGCAGCGAAACCGCGAGGUCAAGCAAAUCCCAUAAAGUUGUUCUCAGUUCGGAUUGUAGUCUGCAACUCGACUACAUGAAGCUGGAAUCGCUAGUAAUCGUAGAUCAGCAUGCUACGGUGAAUACGUUCCCGGGUCUUGUACACACCGCCCGUCACACCACGAGAGUUUGUAACACCCGAAGCCGGUGGAGUAACCUUUUAGGAGCUAGCCGUCGAAGGUGGGACAAAUGAUUGGGGUGAAGUCGUAACAAGGUAGCCGUAUCGGAAGGUGCGGCUGGAUCACCUCCUUU